CUGGGUCUAAUACCGGAUAUAACCUUCCUUUAGUGUGGUUGGUGGAAAGUUUUGUCGGUACGAGAUGAGCCCGCGGCCUAUCAGCUUGUUGGUGGGGUAAUGGCCUACCAAGGCGUCGACGGGUAGCCGGCCUGAGAGGGUGGACGGCCACAUUGGGACUGAGAUACGGCCCAGACUCCUACGGGAGGCAGCAGUGGGGAAUAUUGCACAAUGGGCGCAAGCCUGAUGCAGCGACGCCGCGUGGGGGAUGACGGCCUUCGGGUUGUAAACCUCUUUCGCUAGGGACGAAGCUAUCCUUUUGUGGGGUGGUGACGGUACCUGGAUAAGAAGCACCGGCUAACUACGUGC
rnacentral:rRNA from 1 species